UUUUGCCGCUUUUCUUUUUGUCCCCCGCUAUGGCUCGUACGAAGCAGACAGCUCGCAAAUCCACUGGCGGCAAGGCGCCGCGCAAGCAGCUGGCCACCAAGGCGGCUCGCAAGAGCGCCCCGGCCACCGGCGGCGUAAAGAAGCCCCACCGCUACCGGCCCGGCACCGUGGCCCUGCGCGAGAUCCGCCGCUACCAGAAGUCAACCGAGCUGCUGAUCCGCAAGCUGCCUUUCCAGCGCCUGGUGCGAGAGAUCGCCCAGGACUUCAAGACCGACCUGCGUUUUCAGAGCUCGGCGGUGAUGGCGCUGCAGGAGGCUUGUGAGGCCUACCUGGUGGGCUUGUUUGAGGACACCAACCUUGCUCGUUCACAGCGUCUUUGAGAACUAUUAGUAGCUCUAGCUAUGUCUGGUCGUGGCAAAGGCGGUAAAGGUUUGGGUAAAGGAGGCGCUAAGCGCCACCGCAAAGUGCUCCGGGAUAACAUCCAGGGCAUUACCAAGCCUGCUAUUCGGCGCCUAGCGAGGCGUGGCGGUGUCAAACGCAUCUCUGGUCUGAUCUACGAGGAGACGCGCGGUGUUCUGAAGGUUUUUUUGGAAAACGUGAUUCGAGACGCCGUCACCUACACGGAACACGCCAAGCGUAAGACAGUCACAGCCAUGGAUGUGGUCUACGCUCUCAAGCGCCAAGGGCGCACUCUCUACGGUUUCGGCGGCUAAGAUUUUCUCUUUGGAAUUCCUCCCCAAUGGCCCUUUUCAGGGCCGCCCAUAUUUUCUUGGGAGAGCUGUAUUCUACUUUCAGUGAUUCGUAGUUUUUUUUUUUUGACCAUUUAUUGUAACUACCCCGAGCCAGCCAGUCUCUCAAUGUACUACGCGCGGCUUCUAAUUUGGGCCGAUAGGUGGGCGUGGGCGAGCACAGGAGCCACCAGCCAGUAACCGCAGUGAGGCGUCGUUGGGAGUCACCGGGCUGCUGCGGUUGUCUCUGGCCGGGUAAGUGUCGGGUGCUCAACUCUUUACAGCCGUGAUCUGUCUAGCUUGUGUUUCGUUUUGAAUUGGUAAGACAACUUGAAUUACGUAGCUGGCUGGUUGCUAGCAAGUGGGAAAAUCCGUUCAAAUAAGACAUUACCAUCAAAACGCUGGUGUGUAUUUCCAGUUUAUCUGCCCUU